GAAUCUGAAUCUGUGAGCCGAAAGAAAAAAACAAGAAAUUCGUAUGUAAUUAAAAUGAAAUCCCCUUUUUACGACUGAUGUGGAUGGCAAAGAUUUUUACGGUUAUUUGUUUGGAAAAAAUAAAGAAAAACAGCAGGCCAGCAAAAGGCAGACCUGCAGUAAUUCAAACAGCGAGCAAACCGGAAAAUGUGAUAAGUUUUUUCAUGUACAGCGCGCACCAUAACUGUAUGCUAGCCUAUACAUAAAAGUAAACCAAAAGAAACAACAUAUCGGAAACCGAGCUGGGAGCAGCGUACAUAAAUUUCGAGUGUUGCCCGUGGCCCGAUGGCUGAUGGCUUUUGGCCGACUGGGGAGCGGAAAAACGGUGGCGGAUGGAUGGAAAUUUGAUACGAUUCGGUUGCUAGCAGAGGCGAAAAGUAACACACAGCAGUCUGCGGUUGAGCCCACAAGUCAGAAUUGUGGUUAUUAAUAAAGAAACGAUCGCAAAGCA